rnacentral:ncRNA from 1 species
AUAAAGUUUGAUUUUUGCUUUAGGCUUUGUUUUAUAAUUAUUUAGUAUAUGCAAAUUUUGGUGAAAUAUAUUACUUAAAGUAUAGUAUAUAGUUAUGCAAUAUUUAAUGUUAUCAAUAGGAGAAAUCUUGAGUUAGUAAAUUAUAAUAAGUUUGAUAAAAUCUUGUGCCAGCAGUCGCGGUUAUACUUGAAAAUUAAAUAAAGUAUAUUAGUAGAAGUUAAUAAGUUAAUUAGAAUAAGAGUUUAUGUUUAUAAAAAGUGAAAUUGGAUUAUAAAGUAUAAAGACUUAUUUGAAAGUUAAGAUAAUGAAACUUAAAAAACUAAGGUAUGGAUUAGGAUUAGAUACCCUAGUACACUUAGAUUUAAUUUAUAAAUACUAGAAUAUUAGGAGUUAUGUUCUUUAAAUUUAAGAAAUUUGGCGGUGUUUUAGUCUAGUUAGAGGAACCUGUUUUAUAAACGAUACAACACGCAUUAUUUUACUUAUUUUUGUAAAUCAGCUUGUAUACCGUCAUUAUAAGAUAAUUUAGGAGAAAAUAUUAUUGGGAUCAUAUUAUUGAGUAUAUUAGAUCAAGGUGCAGCUUAUAGAUAAGUAAAUAUGGGUUACAAUAAAAUUUAUUUAUUAUGAAUUAAGUAUUUAAAUAUAUUUAUGAAGGAGGAUUUAAUUGUAAGAGGGGGAGUAGUAAGAUUUUCUGAUAUAAGCUCUAAAUUAUGUACAUAUCGCCCGUCGCUUUCAUUUAAUGUGAAAUAAGUCGUAACAUAGUAGAGGUACUGGAAAGUGUCUCUAGAAUUAC